AUAUAAAUAGUUUAAUUAAAACGUUGAUUUGUGGAGUCAAAAAUAUAUAAAUAGUAUUUUAUAUA
rnacentral:tRNA from 2 species